UUGUCAUCUUAACCAGAGUUUUUAGUCCUUGAUCUCUGCAUUGUCCUAGGUCUUAUUCAUAUAUCAAGACAAGAUUAUCGAUAUACUAUUUGCCUUUCAACAUGUUGCCUUGAAACUUUUCGUUUUUGCCUUCCAUCUUUUUUAUUGAAUUCAAAACAUUUCUUUGAAUAUAGUUUCAUAUCUUUAUUGAUUGAGUAAAAACUUGUGGUAAUUUCAUGCAACCAAGGAAAUUCCGAUCCCACUCGUGUGGGAUCAAUCAUGAGUAGACCAGAUGGUGGGCAAUUAUUUAAAAACUGCAAUAAACGAAGAAACUCUGAUGAUGAAAAAACUUUGAAUAAAAUAGCAAAAACUGAACCGGAAAGUCAACAGCAAAUUUAAUUGUUCAUGAAUUUAUUAAUGCUGUUAAUGACAUUUUGCUCCCUAAAUAUGUUAAAUUUCCAUUGUGAGUGGAAAAUUUAAAUAAACAAAGUAGAGAUUUCGAAGCUAUUCUUGGUUUCCCACAAUGCGUUGGAGCUGUUGAUGGAUGCCACAUCCCUAUUUCAGCCCCUAAAGAUCAAGCAAUUUCUUAUUAUAAUUAUAAAGGGUGGUAUUCCAUUGUACUUUUUGCCAUUGUAGAUUGUCGAUACCGUUUCAUUUAUACAAGCGUUGGAUUGCCUGGUAGAAACAAUGACAGCUAUAUUUUGCAGAAUUCUUCUUUGAAAGCAAUUUUAGAAUCAAAUCUAUUUGAUAAAUGUUGUAAAGAGCUGGGCGAUUCUCUUGUUCCGCUAAGUUUGAUAGGUGAUUCAGCAUUUCCUUUAACACGUCAUUUGUUAAAACCUUAUCCUGAAAAUUUGGAGCUUAGUGAAAUU